GAUGACGUCAAGUCCGCAUGGCCCUUAUGGGCUGGGCUACACAUGUGCUACAAUGGCAAUUACA
rnacentral:rRNA from 1 species